AGCUGCUGCAAGUUAUGUUAACAUGUUUUGAUUUGCAAUACAACUUUCAGCGAUGGAUGUCUCGGUUCAGGCAACGAUGAAGGGCGCAGCGAAGUGUGAUAACCUUUGUGAAUUGCAGAAUUCCGUGAAUCAAUAGAGUUUCGAACGUGUGUUGUGCUUUUGGGAUAUACCUGAAAGCAUGCCUGUGUCGGUGUCUAUUGG
rnacentral:rRNA from 1 species